rnacentral:rRNA from 1 species
UACGUAGGGGGCAAGCGUUGUCCGGAAUUAUUGGGCGUAAAGAGCUCGUAGGCGGCCUGUCGCGUCGGAUGUGAAAGCCCGGGGCUUAACCCCGGGUCUGCAUUCGAUACGGGCAGGCUAGAGUGUGGUAGGGGAGAUCGGAAUUCCUGGUGUAGCGGUGAAAUGCGCAGAUAUCAGGAGGAACACCGGUGGCGAAGGCGGAUCUCUGGGCCAUUACUGACGCUGAGGAGCGAAAGCGUGGGGAGCGAACAGG